UCAUGUAAACUAAUGUCAAAAACAUAAACAAUGACUUUUAAAUCCCGCCGUUUGGCAGGCAUGAUUUUUAAAACCCGCCAAACAAAUCGCAGCAAACUCUGGGUUGCGAAGCGAAAACUUUGUAAUUUCAAUUUUGUUUUUGACGGAAGUGGUGGAGUAUUUUUCGGAGAAUUUGUUUUUGGGCAAAUGGAAACAUGAUCGGGUUCUGGAGUGGAUUCUGCGGCCUGGAGGCCAGUGUCGUAGCGUUAAAGUUAGGCCGGCAAAAAUCCGAUACGCAGAAUAACCUGGUGCUAAAUUGUAAAAUGAAGGUUUGUCCCACAAGAUGAUUGGUUCGGGGCUAAGAGGCGCAGGAUCUUUUCACAUGCCAUGAAUGAAUUUCGCUCGCGAUGCAAAAUGGCUGUGUUGCUGAACAGUGAUUUUUCUUACUUACUGACUUGUGUACAAGAAUUUUAAAACUUUGUUGCAAAUGCUCGAAAAAUAAAAAAAAAUACUGUUCAAUGUC